AACGGGUGAGUAACACGUGGGUGAUCUGCCCUGCACUUUGGGAUAAGCCUGGGAAACUGGGUCUAAUACCGAAUAGGACCACGCGCUUCAUGGUGUGUGGUGGAAAGCUUUUGCGGUGUGGGAUGGGCCCGCGGCCUAUCAGCUUGUUGGUGGGGUAAUGGCCUACCAAGGCGACGACGGGUAGCCGGCCUGAGAGGGUGACCGGCCACACUGGGACUGAGAUACGGCCCAGACUCCUACGGGAGGCAGCAGUGGGGAAUAUUGCACAAUGGGCGCAAGCCUGAUGCAGCGACGCCGCGUGAGGGAUGACGGCCUUCGGGUUGUAAACCCCUUUCAAUAGGGACGAAGCGCAAGUGACGGUACCUAUAGAAGAAGCACCGGCCAACUACGUGCCAGCAGCCGCGGUAAUACGUAGGGUGCGAGCGUUGUCCGGAAUUACUGGGCGUAAAGAGCUCGUAGGUGGUUUGUCGCGUUGUUCGUGAAAACUCACAGCUUAACUGUGGGCGUGCGGGCGAUACGGGCAGACUAGAGUACUGCAGGGGAGACUGGAAUUCCUGGUGUAGCGGUGGAAUGCGCAGAUAUCAGGAGGAACACCGGUGGCGAAGGCGGGUCUCUGGGCAGUAACUGACGCUGAGGAGCGAAAGCGUGGGGAGCGAACAGGAUUAGAUACCCUGGUAGUCCACGCCGUANACGGUGGGUACUAGGUGUGGGUUCCUUCCUUGGGAUCCGUGCCGUAGCUAACGCAUUAAGUACCCCGCCUGGGGAGUACGGCCGCAAGGCUAAAACUCAAAGGAAUUGACGGGGGCCCGCACAAGCGGCGGAGCAUGUGNNNUNAUU
rnacentral:rRNA from 1 species